rnacentral:lncRNA from 1 species
CGACAAAAACCAGAGAUGAGUGCAGUGAAAGUGAAAGUAUUAGGUGAGAUUCCUUUGCCUGUCAUCUCGUGGUAAAGCCUAAAGGCCUUGUGCACUUCUCUUUCCUUGCAGUAUCCAUCUAUCAAUGAUGUAUAGGUCACAACAGUAGGGGUCAAUCCUUUAUCAAUCAUUUCAUUUAAGAUAGAUUCUGCAGCACUACACUCGUAUAGGUUACAACAGUUGGGGUCAAUCCUUUAUCAAUCAUCUCAUUUAAGAUAAAUUCUGCAGCACUACACUUUCCAGCCUUGCAAUGGCCAUUAAUGAGGGAAUUGUAAGGGUAUACGGUUAGCUCUGCCUCAUUAUCAAGCAU